GCUCAACUGUAAAGAAUCUGCCUGCAAUGCAGGAGACCUGGGUUCGAUCCCUGGGUUGGGCA
rnacentral:tRNA from 1 species